GAGCUGUGUAGUAUUGCCCUAGUUGUGUUUAUCUUGUGUUAUGAGUCUUCUGUGAGAUUUCAGUAAGGAAUGCUGUGAUGAAGACAAACGGCGAGAAAAAUUUAACUUACAUGGUUUCUACAAUUUACCUGAACAGGUGCUUCGCGUUGUGUAUAGUGCGAAACAGCAACCUUUGCCUUACUUUCAACUGGCUGUUGUGGAGGUUUUUAUUUGAAUUAUACCGUUCGCAGUACCAGCACAGCAAGGCCGUUUUGGUUAAUGUUGCAAGGCCAGAUCAGUCAAUCAUCCAGACUGUUGCCCCUGCAACUACUGAAAAGGCUGCUGCCCCUCUUCAGGAACCACACGUUUGUCUGGCCUCUCAACAGAUACCCCUCCGUUGUGGUUGCACCUACGGUACAGCCAUCUGUAUCGCUGAGGCACGCAAGCCUCCCCACCAACGGCAAGGUCCAUGGUUCAUGGGGGGAGGAAAAAAAAUAAUCAUGAUAGCAAUAUAAAAUAAAGAAGUUUGGACAGUCAAAAGACAGGAGCAUUAUUUUAACAUUACUACAUCACUGUGGGCCAAAAGUAUGGAAGGGUUAUCCCUGCUCUUAAUUCGAAGUAGUUGGAAGACUUGAGCAACCCCUAUACAGUGUCAGCUGUUAACCAUAGUUAACAAACAGCACUAUAUUCCAUAGCAUUUUAGUAGCCAUUGUUGAAUACUGUUCAUUUUUCUGUGAUGUCUUUAGUUUGUUUGUGGUAAAAUUUGCAUAUUGUAGGUGUUCCGUGCUUGUUCAUUCUCAGGAGACAUUUCACUAUUCAGAUCCUUUAUUUUCAUUCAUCUUUAUUGCAUGCAACAGACUUGUCAGUUCACUUAGCCUAUUAAUUUUAUAAAAUGCAUUUUUACAUAUUUAAGUUGAUACAGAACAUAUCUAAAAAUUCUUCUAAUGAAUAGAAUGGAUUCGUUAACAACAAUUUCUCUAACUUUUUUGUAAAUACUAUGAUUGGCAUGCUUGAGGCAUGUUUAGACAAUUCUUUAUAUAUUUUAAGCUAGAACAGAGAAGUGCAGAUUCUUUUAUUGUAGUCAUGCUUUGAUUCGUUACACCUAAAUUUGGUAGUUCAGCAUUUAUAUAGUUAACACCUAUCAAUAAAAUAUAGAUUCAUAACUGUUAA